GAUGAACCCGCGGCCUAUCAGCUUGUUGGUGGGGUAAUGGCCUACCAAGGCGACGACGGGUAGCCGGCCUGAGAGGGUGACCGGCCACACUGGGACUGAGACACGGCCCAGACUCCUACGGGAGGCAGCAGUGGGGAAUAUUGCACAAUGGGCGAAAGCCUGAUGCAGCGACGCCGCGUGAGGGAUGACGGCCUUCGGGUUGUAAACCUCUUUCGCCAGGGACGAAGCGCAAGUGACGGUACCUGGAUAAGAAGCACCGGCUAACUACGUGCCAGCAGCCGCGGUAAUACGUAGGGUGCGAGCGUUGUCCGGAUUUAUUGGGCGUAAAGAACUCGUAGGCGGUUUGUCGCGUCGGCCGUGAAAUCUCCACGCUUAACGUGGAGCGUGCGGUCGAUACGGGCAGACUUGAGUUCGGUAGGGGAGACUGGAAUUCCUGGUGUAGCGGUGAAAUGCGCAGAUAUCAGGAGGAACACCGGUGGCGAAGGCGGGUCUCUGGGCCGAUACUGACGCUGAGGAGCGAAAGCGUGGGGAGCGAACAGGAUUAGAUACCCUGGUAGUCCACGCUGUAAACGUUGGGCGCUAGGUGU
rnacentral:rRNA from 1 species